rnacentral:rRNA from 1 species
GACGAACGCUGGCGGCGUGCUUAACACAUGCAAGUCGAACGGUGAAGCCCUUCGGGGUGGAUCAGUGGCGAACGGGUGAGUAACACGUGAGCAACCUGCCCCCGGCUCUGGGACAACCACUGGAAACGGUGGCUAAUACCGGAUACGACCCGCCUCGGCAUCGAGUGUGGGUGGAAAGUUUUUCGGCUGGGGAUGGGCUCGCGGGCUAUCAGCUCGUUUGUGCGGUGAAGGCUCACCAAGGCGACGACGGGUAGCCGGCCUGAGAGGGCGACCGGCCACACUGGGACUGAGACACGGCCCAGACUCCUACGGGAGGCAGCAGUGGGGAAUAUUGCACAAUGGGCGAAAGCCUGAUGCAGCGACGCCGCGUGAGGGAUGACGGCCUUCGGGUUGUAAACCUCUUUCAGCUCCGAAGAAGCGAAAGUGACGGUAGGAGCAGAAGAAGCACCGGCUAACUACGUG